rnacentral:rRNA from 1 species
AGUGAACGCUGGCGGUAGGCCUAACACAUGCAAGUCGAACGGCAGCACAGUAAGAGCUUGCUCUUACGGGUGGCGAGUGGCGGACGGGUGAGGAAUACAUCGGAAUCUACUUUUUCGUGGGGGAUAACGUAGGGAAACUUACGCUAAUACCGCAUACGACCUACGGGUGAAAGCAGGGGAUCUUCGGACCUUGCGCGAUUGAAUGAGCCGAUGUCGGAUUAGCUAGUUGGCGGGGUAAAGGCCCACCAAGGCGACGAUCCGUAGCUGGUCUGAGAGGAUGGUCAGCCACACUGGAACUGAGACACAGUCCAGACUCCUACGGGAGGCAGCAGUGGGGAAUAUUGGACGAUGGGCGCAAGCCGGAUCCAGCCAUACCGCGUGGGUGAAGAAGGACUUCGGGUUGUAAAGCCCUUUUGUUGGGAAAGAUAAACAGCAGGUUAAUACCCCGCUGUUCUGACGGUACCCAAAGAAUAAGCACCGGCUAACUUCGUG